CUAAUUCAUAGGGCCCUAGCAAUAGCACCUAGGAGAGUAGAGGGAAAAGUCUUUUCCUUCCCCAAACCACCAAGCACGUACAAGUGAGCAACACCAAGAGCUGGAGAAGACGAUAAUGACCAGGGCACCAUGCCAUGCAGUCUAAGUUGAAUGUUGGGACCAUCAUGGUAGUUAGAGGAGCCAAGGAAAAGUAUGACAGGAGAACAGUGCUGCUGCUAAUUGAAAUGAAAAAGCCACGUGUACCAAAGUGACUACUCGGGAGAGGGAGCCGAGAGGAGGAGAGUGAGAAAAACAGGAGACUUCACCCAGCCCCAUCAGUUCUGUUCAAAACUACCUGCUUCACAAGCGCCAAUUCUUACACCUCUUAUAGAAUACAAAUGACUCUUCAUUUAAACAUACAAUCUACAUUCAUGAAGAUAUGGUCCAUCUUAGAAGGUGAAAAGCUGCCGUGCUGUCAAAUAAUACACUAAUUGGAAUCUUUGCAGAAUUCCCCACCUUAUAAUGAUGAGGUAUGCAGGGUGGGUAGGAAUGAAAAAAAAGCGUUUGAAAAGUGAAUGAAAAGGAAUAGCAGAUGGUACUUGGGUGCUAGUAGAAUAUAAAAGUCUGAGAGUAAAGGGCAGAAGAAAAUAGAAAACGAGAGAUUCAGCAUGUGAAACUAAAGAGCCCUGGGCAUUUCAUCGAGGACUGUUAAGAGUCUCCAGCAUGGCUAAUUUCCAGCUCCAUUAAUUAUAGUCUGAUGACCAAUUCCGGGUACUAUUCUUUAUUUACCAGGUUGAGGCAUUUCCACUCUUACUUUUGGAAUGCCAUUCGGGAUUGUGGUAUCUUAUGAAUUACUGCCACACAUGCUCGGUUGAAAGAUACUACAAAAACAAAAAAAUAGCUGAGCAAAGUGGAAGCUAAAGAUGGAACCUGCAGAUGUUUCAAUGCUGCUUUUAUUAAUUCAAGCCAGUUCUUGCCAGUCAAAUACGAACUGGAGCAUUGGCACGUGACCAACCUGCAUUCAUGUGUGAAGGGGCUGGCAGCCUGGGUGCCUACAGACAGUGGUGCUUGCCCUAUUAUUCCCACCAUAAGGGAGGAAUUGGACCAUUGUAACUGGAAUUUGCGCAGGUCAAGGACCCUACACACCGAUUUAAGACUCAACUCUCGGAGUGGAACGACUCCAUGAUUCUGCUCUAAUCCACCAGAAAGUUUCAUUUCAGCCACCAAUGAGUCCUUGAAAAUCUGCAAGACAUCAGAUUCAACUCAAGUAUAAACCUGGAUUUCUGUAUCCUGAAGAAUUCCGGGGAUCUCCUUUCUCACAAGAUUAUACUCUUUCCACAUCUUAAUGUUCAUUUUGUUUGAUAUUCAUACAGCUAUCUCCAGCUUUCUUAUGGUACCUGUUGGCAUGACAUAUUUUUUUCCCCAUCAUUUCCCUUUCAACUGAUUUGUGCCUUUGAAUCUGAAGUCUGUCUCUUCUAGAGGGACCUUAUUCUCUCAUAAGGCUGACAAUCUCUGCUUUUUGGUUUGAGUGUUUAGACCAUUCACUUUUAGCAUAAUUUUUGAUAUGGUUGGAGUAACAUUUGCUAUGUUGCUAUGUGUUUUCUAUAUCCCUUGUGUUUUGUUUGUUCCUCUGUUUCCCCUUCACUGUCUUCAUUUGUUUGUAAUGAUUUUAAUGUAAGAUGACAACUUUUGUUUCUGGCAAAAAUUCUUUCUUUUUCAAGGAUUGUUAAUAAAAUAACCCAGUUGAUUUUGCAUAAUCAGUGG